GAAGAAAAAGGAAAAAGAAAAAAUAUUUUUUUAACAGUCGGGUCAAACCGACCCGACCCGACUCUGACCCGAACACUGCGACCCGACCCGCCACCUGCAUACCCAGGCCAAGCCCAGCAGCCCAAAGAAAAAAAAACAAAAAAAGGGCAAAAGCAAAAAAGAAAAGAAAAGAAACAGGCCAAAAACAGCCCAAGUUCAGGCCCAACCCAACGCCAGGCCCAACAGCAGGCCUAGCAGGCCAGCCAGCCCAACUCCAGCAGCAGGCCCAAUAGCGCAGGCCCAAAAGGCAGCAGGCCAAA
rnacentral:lncRNA from 1 species